UAUGACUCUCGGCAACGGAUAUCUCGGCUCUCGCAUCGAUGAAGAACGUAGCGAAAUGCGAUACGUGGUGUGAAUUGCAGAAUCCCGUGAACCGUCGAGUCUUUGAACGCAAGUUGCGCCCGAGGGACCCUCCCGAGGGCACGCCUGCCUCAUGGGC
rnacentral:rRNA from 1 species